rnacentral:rRNA from 1 species
AUUGAACGCUGGCGGCAUGCCUAACACACGCAAGUCGAACGGCAGCACAGUAAAGACUUCGGUCUUUAUGGGUGGCGAGUGGCGGACGGGUGAGUAACGCGUAGGAAUCUGUCCUGGAGGGUGGGAUAACUCGAGGAAACUCGGGCUAAUACCGCAUAAUAUCGAGAGAUCAAAAGCAGGGGACCCUUCGGGGCCUUGCGCUCUAGGAGGAUCCUACGUCGGAUUAGCUAGUUGGUGGGGUAAAGGCCUACCAAGGCGACGAUCCGUAGCUGGUCUGAGAAGAUGACCAGCCACACUGGGACUGAGACGCGGCCCAGACUCCUACGGGAGGCAGCAGUGGGGAAUCUUGGACAAUGGGGGAAGCCCUGAUCCAGCGAUGCCGCGUGUGUGAAGAAGGCCUUCGGGUUGUAAAGCACUUUAGUUGGGGAAGAAAAGUAAUAAGUAAAUAAUUUAUUGCUCUGCCGGUACCCAAAGAAUAAGCACCGGCUAACUCUGUGCCAGCCGCCGCCGUAA